GGAUUGUGGCUCAGUGGUACAGUACUCGCCUAACAUGCAUUAGGCCCUGGGUUCGAACCUCAGCACCA
rnacentral:tRNA from 1 species